UACGUAGGGGCCGAGCGUUGUCCGGAUUCAUUGGGCGUAAAGAGCGUGUAGGCGGCCGCUUAAGUCCUGCGUGAAAGCCCGGGGCUCAACCCCGGGUCGGCCGUGGCAACUGCUGGGCUGGAGCACAGUAGAGGCGGGUGGAAUUCCGGGUGUAGCGGUGGAAUGCGUAGAGAUCCGGAAGAACACCGGUGGCGAAGGCGGCCCGCUGGGCUGUUGCUGACGCUGAGGCGCGACAGCGUGGGGAGCAAACAGG
rnacentral:rRNA from 1 species